UACGUAGGGUGCGAGCGUUAAUCGGAAUUACUGGGCGUAAAGCGUGCGCAGGCGGUUCGUUGUGUCGGCGGUGAAAGCCCCGGGCUUAACCUGGGAAUGGCCGUUGAAACUGGCGAACUGGAGUGUGGCAGAGGGGGGUGGAAUUCUGCGUGUAGCAGUGAAAUGCGUAGAGAUGCGGAGGAACACCGAUGGCGAAGGCAGCCCCCUGGGCUAACACUGACGCUCAGGCACGAAAGCGUGGGGAGCAAACAGG
rnacentral:rRNA from 1 species